rnacentral:rRNA from 1 species
GGAUGCGAUCAUACCAGCACUAAAGCACCGGAUCCCAUCAGAACUCUCCGAAGUUAAGCGUGCUUGGGCGAGAGUAGUACUAGGAUGGGUGACCUCCUGGGAAGUCCUCGUGUUGCAUUCC